rnacentral:tRNA from 5 species
GCUGAUAUGGCUCAGUUGGUAGAGUGCACCCUUGGUAAGGGUGAGGUCCCCAGUUCGACUCUGGGUAUCAGCACCA